AAGACAUCUUUAUUGCUCUCCCCUGGGAAAUUCCAAGGGUUUUAGAAGCUCUGUGCCAGAAACAGGGACAAAGACACACAGUGACAAACAGAAAGAUUCUACUAUUCUUGUGUACAACUGAAGAAAAAAAAACAGUUAAAAAAUGUUAGUGAAAACAUGGAGAAAUUAGAACACUUGUGCACUACUGAUGGGAACGUAAAAUGAUGCAGCUUCUGUAAAAAGAGAAUCUGGGUCUAUAUCCAAAGGAGCUGAAAUCAGAAUCUCAGAGAGAUAACUGCACUCUCCCAUUCACUACAUCUUCAUUCACAACAGUCAAGGCAUGGAAACAUCCCAAGUGUCCAUCAACAGAUGAAUGGAUAAGGAAAAUGUAAGAUAUAUGUACAAUGGAAUAUCAUUCACCCUUAAGAGAGAAGGAAAGCCUGCUAUACACAACAACAUGGAUGAAUCUGCUAAAGGGAAUCUGUAAGGACAUUAUGCGAAGUGAACGAUUCUCCGAGAACGAGUUUUAGAGACAAGAUUCUAGUAGAAGUAGUUUCUUAGGGAAAAGAUUACAGAAAACAGCAAUACUGAACAGCAGUGCUGAGAAAGGGAAAAGAAGGAAAUAAAAGGUAUGCUACCAAGCAAGUUACAAUUGCAGAAACCUGGAGUGGACUUUUGGGGGCACCCAGGAAAGAGCAUGAAAUACACACCUCAGAGUUACUCUACCAACUGGUAAAGAAGCUUGACUAUUUCUCUACUAAAUGCUCUUGAUGAGGGGACAUUAGGUUGGGGAUGUUUAUUACUUGGCUUUUCCUGACAGCCUUGCAAACAGGACAGGCUUCAGUGGCUCCAAAUGGAAGCUGGGCCUGAAGUACAGAUGUGGUAUUGGGAAGGACAUACGGGCAGAUAUCUGUUACAAACUCCCAACUAAACUGUAACAUUCCUUGUCAGCAGAAUCCAGAUCUUGCUCUUUAUCUCUACCACCCAGCACGGGACCAAUAGUGAAUAAACACGGCAUAAUUCACUGGAUUAAGAAAACCCAAGCAUUCUGAACUCAUCACUGGCUUGACGGACUUAUUUUACCAAAAGUAGAAAAGCUUUGUAUAUAGUCUGUCACCAAUGCAAAGAUUUUCCUUAUGGCAUGGAUUCCUAGAUGCUGCUUUAUAACAAGCACUGGUCUAGAAAUAAGUUUUUACCAAUCUGUGGUAAAAUAAGAAAAAAAAAUAGUAAUUUCAAAAUUUUGUGAAAAUUAUACAUGUUGGAUUAAAGAAUGUGAUGAGAAUUUAA